rnacentral:rRNA from 1 species
UACGAAGGGUGCAAGCGUUAUUCGGAGUUACUGGGCGUAAAGAGCGCAUAGGCGGUUUUUUAAGUCAUAUGUUAAAUUUCUCGGCUUAACUGAGAAAAUGCAGAUGAAACUGAAGAGCUAGAGUGUAAGAGAGAGAAGUGGAAUUCUCGGAGUAGCGGUAAAAUGCGUAGAUCUCGAGAGGAACACCGGAGGCGAAGGCGGCUUCUUAGCUUACAACUGACGCUCAAGCGCGAAAGCGUGGGGAG